rnacentral:rRNA from 1 species
AGAGCGAACGCUGGCGGCAGGCCUAACACAUGCAAGUCGAGCGCCCCGCAAGGGGAGCGGCAGACGGGAGAGUAACACGUGGGAACGUACCCUUUGGUUCGGAACAACACAGGGAAACUUGUGCUAAUACCGGAUAAGCCCUUACGGGGAAAGAUUUAUCGCCAAAGGAUCGGCCCGCGUCUGAUUAGCUUGUUGGUGAGGUAACGGCUCACCAAGGCUACGAUCAGUAGCUGGUCUGAGAGGAUGAUCAGCCUCACUGGGACUGAGACACGGCCCAGACUCCUACGGGAGGCAGCAGUGGGGAAUAUUGGACAAUGGCGCAAGCCUGAUCCAGCCAUGCCGCGUGGAUGAUGAAGGCCCUAGGGUUGUAAAGUCCUUUCGACGGGGAAGAUAAUGACGGUACCCGUAGAAGAAGCCCCGGCUAACUUCGUGCCAGCAGCCGC